UAAGCCAUGCAUUUCUAAGUAUAAGCAAUUAUACCGUGAACUGCGAAUGGCUCAUUAAAUCAGUUAUCGUUUAUUUGAUAGUACCUUACUACUUGGAUAACCGUGGUAAUUCUAGAGCUAAUACAUGCUGAAAACCCCAACUUCGGGAGGGGUGUAUAUAUUAGAUAAAAAACCAACGCCCUUCGGGGCUUCUUGGUGAUUCAUGAUAUCUUUACGGAUCGCAUGGCCUUGCGCCGGCGACGGUUCAUUCAAAUUUCUGCCCUAUCAACUUUCGAUGGUAAGGUAUUGGCUUACCAUGGUUUCAACGGGUAACGGGGAAUUAGGGUUCGAUUCCGGAGAGGGAGCCUGAGAAACGGCUACCACAUCCAAGGAAGGCAGCAGGCGCGCAAAUUACCCAAUCCCGACACGGGGAGGUAGUGACAAUAAAUACUGAUACAGGGCUCUUUUGGGUCUUGUAAUUGGAAUGAGUACAAUUUAAACCUCUUAACGAGGAACAAUUGGAGGGCAAGUCUGGUGCCAGCAGCCGCGGUAAUUCCAGCUCCAAUAGCGUAUAUUAAAGUUGUUGCAGUUAAAAAGCUCGUAGUUGAACCUUGGGUCUGGCUGGCAGGUCCGCCUCACCGCGUGUACUUGUCCGGCCGGGCCUUCCUUCUGGAGAACCUCAUGCCCUUCACUGGGCGUGUUGGGGACCAGGACUUUUACUUUGAAAAAAUUAGAGUGUUCAAAGCAGGCCUUUGCUCGAAUACGUUAGCAUGGAAUAAUAGAAUAGGACGUGCGGUCCUAUUUUGUUGGUUUCUAGGACCGCCGUAAUGAUUAAUAGGGACAGUCGGGGGCAUCAGUAUUCAAUUGUCAGAGGUGAAAUUCUUGGAUUUAUUGAAGACUAACUACUGCGAAAGCAUUUGCCAAGGAUGUUUUCAUUAAUCAGUGAACGAAAGUUAGGGGAUCGAAGACGAUCAGAUACCGUCGUAGUCUUAACCGUAAACUAUGCCGACUAGGGAUCGGGCGAUGUUCUUUUUCUGACUCGCUCGGCACCUUACGAGAAAUCAAAGUUUU
rnacentral:rRNA from 1 species